GCAUAUCAAUAAGCGGAGGAAAAGAAACCAACAGGGAUUACCUCAGUAACGGCGAGUGAAGCGGUAACAGCUCAAAUUUGAAAUCUGGCAGCAAUGUCCGAGUUGUAAUUUGUAGAGGAUGUUUCGAGCAUGGUCUGGCCUAAGUUCCUUGGAACAGGACGUCAUAGAGGGUGAGAAUCCCGUAUGCGGUCAGGUGCCUACGCUCAUGUGAAACUCCUUCGACGAGUCGAGUUGUUUGGGAAUGCAGCUCAAAAUGGGUGGUAAAUUUCAUCUAAAGCUAAAUAUUGGCCAGAGACCGAUAGCGCACAAGUAGAGUGAUCGAAAGAUGAAAAGCACUUUGGAAAGAGAGUUAAACAGUACGUGAAAUUGUUGAAAGGGAAGCGCUUGCAACCAGACUUGCACGCAGCUGAUCAUCCGCUGUUCUCAGUGGUGCACUCGGUUGCGUUCAGGCCAGCAUCGGUUUUGGUGGUGGGAUAAAGGCCUUAGGAAUGUAGCUGCUUUCGGGCAGUGUUAUAGCCUAGGGUGCAAUGCCGCCUACUGGGACCGAGGACCGCGCUCGGCU
rnacentral:rRNA from 1 species